rnacentral:lncRNA from 1 species
AGGGGGAGUGAAUGGAGCAGUAGAUGGUUCAGUGUUGAAUGUAGAGAAUACAGGUGGUGACACUAACUGUGUCUCGUAUGCAUAAGGGCCUAUGGAAAACAUGGAUGCAGGUGUUGGAUUUAUCCAAUAUAAAUCAACCUUAAGUGGUCUACUACAUGUAAUAGGAAUGUAAUAUUGGAGAAUAAUGUUAAUUGUGAUUUAAUCUCUUAAAGAUAUUAAUUCUAUAUAAGGUGUCUUAUAUUGGAAAUAGGAUUGAUGGAAUCCUUAAUAAUAUAUGAUUAUGAUAUUUUUACUUGAGAGCCAAGAAAUGAGAGUUUUAGUUUUCCCUUAUGGACGGAAUCUAAGACUUUUUGGCUAGUAUAUAAACACCGGUCCCUGCUAACCCUAGACACGACAACUAAGGCUUCCCAUAGAGCUUUGUCAUAAAGCUAGGAGUUUACAGAAUAGUUGGUGUUUCUGUUUGUCACGGCAAACAUAAAGAUUGGAGUUUUAUCGAUCACGUCUUGCUUGCAUGGCUGCUGCAUCUUCGAUAACUACCAUUGGAAUCAGGUCAGUCACUCUUUCGUUUGUGUUUUAAUUGUAUAACCUUAUAAGGCUAACAAUUGGUAUCAGAGCCAUUGGUUAUAUGAUUAAAACCUAUUAGGGUUUAGGUUGGACUAUAUAAUAUUUUUAUGAGCUGCGUUUUUAAUCCAUGUUAUGAUUGCAUAUACUUGGCAACACCACCAUGUUGUUUCAAUCGGUACAAUUGAUGAUUGUUAAUAGGUUAUAUAACCAUUCGGUUUUAGUCAAGAAUUUUAAUAAUCUUAUGGCAUGAUGAAUCUGGGAAACUUUAUCAAGAAUAGCAGCAAAUCGUGGAUCAAUACCAUAAUAGUGGCAUGCCGCAUGCGGAGAAGUAUAUAUAUAAACCGUGUUGAAGUAUAAAAUUAAAAUAAUGGUGAUGAUCCAAAUAUGGAAUAAGCUUCAAAUCCCAACAGUUUUUUAAACUAUACCUAUUUUAAUUGCAAACAAUAUGGUUUAGUUGAUAGUUUUUGAUCAGGCAUCUUUAUUGCAUAAAAUAUGUUUGGGUCGAACCACCAAAGUCUGGAGAUUGCUAAUAUUUGAUCAAGCAAGAGCAUGUAAUUUUUAUUUGAUUAGUCAAAUUUGAUUACCACCAAUAGUUCUGAUAAGGGGAUGUUAAAGAAAAUUGAUUAGUUAGUUCAUUGGAUUAACUAUGACUGGAAACCAUGGCAUAUUUCAAAUUUUCUAUUUUAAAGUUGAUGUUUUUGGUUGGAAUGUUUAACCAUGUACUACGGAUGUCUUUGUCAAUUUUGUAAGCAUAUGCAAAUACACAUUUACACUGGAAAAGUGAUGCGGCCUCUCAAUUUAGCAAGCUGACCUCUGCCAAAGCAGAGCAUUGUGUUUCAUCGACUCAAUUCGGAUUUUGGGUUUUUGGUGUAAUCUUUUCCCUUGGUCUUAAUUGCUGACAAGAUUUUGUGGUGGAUUUAAAAGGUGAUUAUUUGGUUCCUGCAUAACUUACAUAUGCCGUGACAUCUCCUUAUUACUUGGAAUAUUAUGUUUUUGGUUCCUUGUUUUGGUGGCAUCAAAGAGUUUUCGUACUUGCAUAACCAACUAAUUAUUCAGAACCCAAUUUUGACUGCAACCUAAUUCUUAGAAUUAAGAAAGAGGCGUAACAGUUCAAAUAUUGCUUGACAUCUUUCGGAAUGUUGGUAACGGAAUUGUUCACUUUUAGAUGUCUCAAUACUAUUAUUGGUAUAUGAUUUGUGCCUAUAUAUAUGAUUGUGGUAACAUAUAUUACAGUUGUGUUGCAGGAAUGCAUAUGCUAAGUUUAUAUAUGUCUAUAUUUGAAAGCAGGUCAAUAUAAAUUUUGGCAAUUUUUGUUAUUGCAUCUAUAGCAUCACGGAUAUGUUUCAAAGAUGUGUAAGGUGACACAAUUUCUUCCAUGACCGUAGCAUAUGAUAAAUUGUAACUAAUUUGCUUGAACCAAAAUUUUAAUAUUGUUAAGCAAAUGGCAUGUAUAGUGUUGCUUGUAUGGCUAAUUUGGUUCAAGCAUGAGAUAACAUAUUUUUAAUAUUGCCAUGGGUUUUGGACUAUAGUGAAUUGUAGUGUUGUUUUCACUAAUUUUCACGAGAUGUGAAUGAACCUUUAUGCCAUUAAUAGCACAAGAAAUAUGCAUGACUAAUCAAUCAAGUUUGUCUACAAUUUGCUUUCUUAUUAUCUCAAAAGUCAUUUAAAUUAUACAUGACUAGUUACUUGUGAAAAAUUGAUGUAUAAUUUGUGAAUUGACUGAGAAUGACAGAAAGCAUCCAGUGACAAGAACAAGGGUAUUAUACAAAUGAAUAAGGUUUGUAGUAAUUAUGUGACAAUUCUCAUUUGUAUUUUUAUCUAUUCUUAUAUGAGAAUUUUGGUUGGUCAUGUGAUUUAUACAUAUGUUUACAAAGAAGUGAUGAACAUAUGAAGGCAUGAGGUAUGUAAUCCAUUCAAAGUAUGUGGCUUAAUUGAUAAGCAUGAAUUUUCAAACAUGUAUUAUUGUUUGUGGUUUUUCCUAUGCCUAAAGAAUUUAAGCAGUGCUUUGAUUAGUAAUUUUUUAUAUGUCAUAAGGGGAGAAGAAAAGAAACUUUUCAAGGCUAAUGUAGGGCAUAUACUGGAAAUGUUUUCUAUGGAAGAAAAUAAUUUUGGUAGUUCCUUUAUAUAAUUGGUAUUUACAAGGCUAAUGCACGAUUUUGAUGCUAAUGUUUUAGGAGCCUUGUACUACGGAAAGAAAGGUACAAAAGAAAAGGAACCCGUUUGACUUAAGAAAACAUUUGAGCAAUUUAGUUUUUAAAUUAAAGGAAUGUAUUGUUCUUUUGCAUUACAUAAAGUAUUUCUAUUUCAAGCAAUUGACUCCGUAAUGAUAAUAAGUAUUGACAUUCUUGUGGUGGAAUAAAACUUGUUCUAUAUGUGAUUAAUCUCUUUCAAGUAUGUUGUCAGGUUUCUUGAGAUUAAUUUAAUGUCAAAGGGAGUCAUGAAGGAAUUAGUGCCAUUUGUUGGCAGGACUCGACGCUUGAAUCAGGUUAUCAUAAUUUUGUCACUUACAGUUAAUUAAUCCAUGUGACUUUUGCAUUGUUUCAGGACGGAGUUGAUAAAUGUCUUUUCAACUAAAGGAAGCCGCAACGGCUCAGUUGAUGAUGAGACUGUAUUUUUGAGUUACUUCGAUCAACUUUGCAUCUUAAUUAGAAUAAAAGGGAUAAUCUUCUUACCUACAGGUGUGGAUUACUUCUUUUAGUUUAAUUAAGAUGGCAUAGUAUGGGUUUUAUUUCACAGAAGUUGUGAAAACCUUCAUCUUGCCUACAGGUGUUGAAGUUUUUCAUGAAGGAACUUUUGUGACAUAAAAUCUAGUACUAGAAACUUGUUAUUUUUCUUGCCUACAGGUGUAAAUUAAUUUAGUUUCAUGAAGUUUAUUGGGAUAAAGUUCCAUGCCAUUAGUGACAAAUAUUUCCACAAUGAGCCCCAUAAAAGGUUGUGGUUUGAAGGCCUGGAAAUCGGUUGCAUCAUGCAUAUUUUGUGUCUCUUCAUGAGACUUGUUGAUGCAAAGUAUUGGACCCAUGAAGGUUAAUCAAGGAUUGCUAAGGUACGCAUUGUUUAAGUCUUAUGCUUGAAAAUCUUUUCAAUUUGAACUAUGAUGUCGAUUUAGAGGAUGAAAUUUGAAUACUAAAGUUUCAUUUGGACAUCGAAAUUGAAAUGAUAUGAAAUUGAAUUUGUUAUGGAUGCAUAAAUUCAUGAUAGAAGCACAUAAUUGUUUCUGGCAGAUUACGUGUCUUGAUUUAAAUCGGGUGAAUGACAUGUCUAAUGGUCACCAAAUGACCUGAAUUUUGGAUAUGUUUAACAUAUAGAUGUCUAAUAUGUUUCUGCAAAUUUUCGUAAUUUUCUGCCAUGUAUGUUAAUUAUGGUGAAUUUACUAGUAACCCAUGCUCGUAUAGACAGUUUUUACUGGCAGAUUGUGAUGUUUUUUGAGACGUGACUUUAGACUACUAUUUUGACCCAAAAUGGCUCUGUAUUUCUAUUUUAUGAAGAUUAGUAUGUCUAUUUUGAUCAGUAUAAAUUUGGUAGCAAUCAAGCUUGUAAAUUAAUUAUGAUAAAUUCUAAAGUAAGUGUAACUCAUUGCUGAAAUUCUGUUUGACAACUUUAUGUUGGUUGUGAUGUCUAUUUUAUUAUGUCUAAUAUAUAAAGACAUUUUCUUUAGGUACAUCUUUAAAAGAAUAUAUUAACGAGUGUUUGCCCAAGUGGGAGAAUUAGUGAACGAAAAUUGGGCUUCACACUCAUUAACUUAUUUGCAAGUAUAAACUCUGAUAACUUAGUGGGAGUUCUAAAAUUUUGAGCACUAAGUGGACUUGCAUGAAUCUAUUAAAGCAUUAUUCUAUCUUCCAUGAAUUUGUGUUACUUGAAUGUCUAUAAUAUGUUUAAGUUGCACAAAUGGAUACUUGGUGUAUGCGUACAUUUUCUAUUACUUGCAAUCAUUUAGAUUUCUCGAUUGAUCAUAUUGUUUUGGGGUUCAUAAGGACUUAGCAUAAAUGUGGAUUUAUUAAUACAUAUAAGACGGUUGUUGGAUGCACGUUUUUUGUGUAAAUAGCAGUGAAUGCUUUCAUGCUUAGUUGUACCUUUCAUUGAGGUAAUAUGCAUUCAUUGACUAAGUAAGGCUAUUCCCAAAGGCAGUAUGAUUUAAGUGACUUUUGAUUUGCAAAUUAAGUAACGAUGUUGCAGAUCAGUGGGAGUUUGAGUUUCGUGUUAGUAAUGUCUUACAUUUGCAGAUGACCUAUAAAGUAUGUAUAGAAUCCAUGUAUUCAUAUUAAUCUCCAGUUGGAUUCAUUAAGUCACAUUUUUUGUGUGCUAGUCAAUCAUCUGAUGAAAUAUAUAUUAGAUUUCAAGUUGUUAUCAAAUUGCAUAUUAAAUGUCAUGGCAUGGUUUGUGCACUACCUCAGUUGUGAAGAUUUCCAUCUUGCCCGCAGGUGUUGGAAAUCAUUAUGAAAGUAACUGGUAUGGUGCAUAGAUCAGUGUCAAAAACAUAUUAAUUCAUCUUGCUCACAAGUGUUGAAUUAAUUUGUUUUAUGAAGUUUUUGGGAUAUUUUACUUGGACAUGUGCCUAUUUGGUAUUUUCAGUUGUGUCCGUUGGUUACAAACAUUGUUUGUAUUGUUACUGAUCUAAUGAAGGUGAUGCAUGAUUGUUUUGGAGAUGUAUUCACACCUAUAGGUUAUGGUGGUUUCAUUAGAUGAAGGAUAUCUGCAUUGGCAGAUUUAAGGCUUCGAAGAAGCAUAAAGUGUAACUUGUGAGUUACAAUAAGGUGGACCUAAGAUGAUAUAAAGUAAGACAUUUUAGUUAAUUUAAAGUUUAUUUAAAGUUUCACCUCUUGAUCAUAAUUUGUGUUUCAUGUGAAUGAGGAUCUUAGCAUGUGUGAUUAUGAAGGUUCUGGGUUGUGUCAAUCCUACAACUUUGUUAGUUCCAUGUUAAGAAAUGCAUUUGACAGAAGCUGCAUUAAGGACGAGAUGUAAUCACUGUUACAUGGCCACUAAAGUGACAUUAGUCUCCAAUCUCAAGUAUAAACGUGAAUAUUACAUUUUGUAGACCAAGUGGGAGAAUGUUGGAUUUAUCCAAUAUAAAUCAACCUUAAGUGGUCUACUACAUGUAAUAGGAAUGUAAUAUUGGAGAAUAAUGUUAAUUGUGAUUUAAUCUCUUAAAGAUAUUAAUUCUAUAUAAGGUGUCUUAUAUUGGAAAUAGGAUUGAUGGAAUCCUUAAUAAUAUAUGAUUAUGAUAUUUUACUUGAGAGCCAAGAAAUGAGAGUUUUAGUUUUCCCUUAUGGACGGAAUCUAAGACUUUUUGGCUAGUAUAUAAACACCGGUCCCUGCUAACCCUAGACACGACAACUAAGGCUUCCCAUAGAGCUUUGUCAUAAAGCUAGGAGUUUACAGAAUAGUUGGUGUUUCUGUUUGUCACGGCAAACAUAAAGAUUGGAGUUUUAUCGAUCACAUCUUGCUUGCAUGGCUGCUGCAUCUUCGAUAACUACCAUUGGAAUCAGGUCAGUCACUCUUUCGUUUGUGUUUUAAUUGUAUAACCUUAUAAGGCUAACAGCAGAUUCACCCGAAGAGUAGGCAUUGGCAGAAAGGGAUGUGAGGGACAGAAAUCCAGCAGGUGAUUGGGAAGCAGACGGUGGACCGGAUGGAAGGAAAGAUGCAGGAGAAGAUGGAGGGGCAAUGAAGGGUAAUACAAUUGCGGUGGAGGUUGUUUGGUUAUCAGAGGUUGAAACUGCGGCUCCUGGCACUACAGGCUCGGGAACGAGGACAGCAUGACCAGUGGCGAAGCCACGUGAGGGCGAGGAGUGGCGACCGCCACUCCCCUCACCGGAAAUGAAGCCCAGGAGCGAGUACCCGCCCCUCCUCUCGCCGGAAAUGAAGCCAUGUUUUUUGCUGCAGCUGCACAAACGCUGAGCGUGCAACGGUGAAGCUGUUAAGGCCCGGGAGGGGUCCGCCCCUCCUCUCACAGGAAAACAUGCCCAAAAAUCAUGGUUUGCUGCCCCAUAGCACCUCUGGUUUCGCCGGAUUGCAGCUCACAAUUGCUACAACUGCAGCAGUUCUUCAUGGCUGCGCAGGGAAGGGAAAACUUGAAAAAAACAAAAUUAAUAUUAAAAUAAGUGAAACGGUGUGUUUGGGCAUUUGGGCUUAAUUUGAAAAACAAAUAUUAAAAUAUGAUGGGAGGACCACUUGUCCCCAUUACCUCUCGGCUUCCUCCCCCAAAGUUUUCCUUUUUUUUAUGCAUGCAUGUAUGGAUGGACCUGUUGGGCAAUGCCAUUGGAAUGGCUAAAGAGCACUUUUAGUUACAUCUGCCAUAAAAAUUACAUCUUUCUAAGUUCUCGAAGUGCUUUUUGUCAGAUUAUUCUUCAGGAAGUCUUUCACGAAGAAGCAUUUAGAUAUUGAAUAAACUAAUGAAUGCACUUUUAGGCUUUUAGCGUAAACACACUUAUAAAUGAGCAUAACUACUUUUUACAUAGUUCAAUCAUCAACAAGUCGUAUAUCGCUAGACUUAUGUUGACAAAUUAAAUCCAAAUCAAACGUUUAAAAAAGAAUCAACUUAAUCAAUGAUCUAAAUUUAAAUUAUGACAACACAUUUUUUUGUGGUUUGUUAACCCAUUUUUCUCUUCUCUUUUCUUUUAUUUAUUUAUUAUUCUUGUAUGUAUUUUUUUCCCUCUUUUUAAAACCCCAGCGUAUUUAUCUUAAACUCUCACAUUAUCUAUAAAUGUUGUAUUAAUUUUUUUUUAAAUAAUGUAAAUAUCGUGUAAUGCUUAUUUUACAAUAAAAGACAUUUAAAUCCAUCUAGGUUCCUACCUAAAUCUCGCCUAAGCGCCUAAUUGGUAGGCCCUAGUCCGCCGCGUGACUAGCGCCUAAUGUUUUUUAGAAUCUAAUUCUUACCAAUUUAAGCUUCUUACAUGCCUUUGAUCUUACCGCUUACAACCGAUUUGGUGGAUAUACUGUUUUCUGUUAUAAAUAUUGAUUCAAAACUUUGCCCUCUCCAAUGUGAAGGCAACCGUUUCGAUUGAACCUUGCACUCUUUUGAAUUUAGCCCCUCCCCUCGGCAAAUCCUGGCUUCGCCACUGAGCAUGACCAAUUCGCUUGCUAGUUUUAUGUGACCCGAAGCACCAAUAUAGGCUCCAGCAGCUUCCCCAUCUUCUUUUCUGCAGUCAAAUGGUAAAAGAUUGUCAACGACACAGUUUCAAAAAUAGCUAUAAAAAAGGAAGGCAUUCCAAGCCGUCGAAGGCAAGGAGUGAUCCCAAAUGUAGCAAUUUUGAAUAUAAUUUUGAAUAGAGUGACCAUAACUAGUAACAACGCUUGCCAAGAGGUUGGUUUUCUAAAAACAUACUUCUAGGUGAUAAUAGUGAAAGACUCCACCAGACAAAAAAUAACCUAUGUCAUAUGUUUGUAUUCUCUUAAAUGCAAUAACUUAAUCCUUUGUUGGGAAAGGUCUCAACUGUUUUUGAGAAAAUAUAUUUGUUUGUUUUAUAUCUCUAAUCAUAUGGACGUGCGCAAGAAUCUCUCCUAAUUUGAUUUUUAUUGAUACAAUGAUCUGAUUGGUUUUAUGUUUUUCAAACAUAACAAUGAUCUGGACAUGUUGAUAGAUUCUCUUCAUUGCAAUGAAGAGGAACUUGUUCCACAAGUUACAUAUGUAUCUAUUUAAUGUUGACAAAACUAAUAGUUGUAUUAAACUAGCUUAAUGUGGCCAUGGGUUUCACUAAUUAAUGACUAAAUCUUGCAAGUUGGGGGAUAAUUGGAUAUGGGAUUGGACAAAAGAAAGCCAGCUGUCAUCUCUCUCACACACACAUUUUUUUAAUAGGUGAUGUUAUUCACACUUUCUCAAACGUCCUUCUCAAUUUCCGAUGAUUGGACCAAAUGAAUUGAAGAAGAUCAAUAGAUAAAAUUAACGAGAGUGUGGGAUGUAAAAACAUGUGUGUGAAUAGCAUUACCCUUUUUUAUUUAUGUAUGUAAUUUUUUUAAGUUGAACACGUUUUAAUUAGAGUUGUUUGAUAACUGGGUAACGCUAGAUAAACCAACUUUUUAAACCAAAUAUGUAAAUUGCAUGACGUGUCACCAAUAGAAAAUAAGCAUGUUAAUAAACAUUAAUUUAAUCACCAACAACCACAUCAUACGGUUUACAAAAUAUAGUUUUAAUAUAUUGUCUCACUAGCAUUACCCUAACUGAAUACUUUCAGUUUUCAUAAAAAUGAAAAUUGAAAACAACAAAGUAAAAAUUGAAGGCAAAAUUUUGAAAACUUAAGAAAGUAUUUUUCUUGUUUUCAUUUUUUGAAAACCAUAAAUAGCUAAAAUUUGUGGGGCCAUGGAUCGCAGGUGUCAUGUUUCCACAAUCCUUUUCUUAUGUAGAGAUUUGGCUUUGCUUUAUGUUGGGACCAAGUCGAGAUCCAUAAUGGUCAUGUUUUCACGUAAUGUUAUGAAUUUAUGUGUUAUAAUAUAAAUUUGUUGAUGUGAUUUUGUAAGAAUUGUUAGUAGAAGUGGAUUAAUAAGCAGAAAAAAUCAUUAAAUUAAUAGUAUUACAUGACAGAAUAAUAGUCACACUAAAAAGUUGACUCCAAGGGAGAUGGAUAUGGUCUAAAAAUUUUCACAACUCAUUGAUACUCAUUCAAUGUUACUUGAAUCAUACUUGAAAUGGCUUCUAAGUUCCAAGUUAAUGUUACUUGAAUCAUACUUGAAAUGGCUUCUAAGUUCCAAGUUAUGAUAGUUGCCAUGACAUGACAAAAUAGUCUUCUCAUUUUUCUUAGAAAAUUAUUAUGUUUUAGGGGAUAUCCACAUGUAAAACUGUUACAGACUUUUAAUUAAAAAUAGAACUCAAAGCAACGUUAAUGAAAAAGCAGCUAAAUUUAACUGAAGGAGAGAGAAAAAGAGGGUGUGAGAAAGAGAGGGAGAAAGAGAGAAAAGAAAGGGGUAGGAAAAAUUGGUCUUUUCACACUAUCUUGUGCCUUUAUGUAUUGUAACAUAACAGGCUUACUACCACUUAGUACUACGGUCUAAUAGUAUUCUUCUUCACUUCUUCACUUGUAAGUGAGAGGUCUUAUGUUUGAUUCUCGCCAAAGGCGAAUUUGAACCACAUUAUUGCUAGCACAUUGUGAGACUAAAUUCACCCUCUUCCUUAGUAUAGAUAAUAUUGUUUGUUAAAAAAACAAAAAAAAAAAACAUAAUGGUCUUACUUGAGCUACAAAUAAGAAAGUCUAAGAUCUUCCAUAUUACGUAAGGAAUUCUAAUACAAUCAGUUAAGAUUUACACAAUUACACAUAUGCUAUAAUUCUACCUACAACAUAAACCAUAAAAUACAUACAAAAAUUUGUCGGUUUUAUGUUUCAUUAAAAGUUUGAUACUUACAUGUAUAUAAUAGGAUCACCAUCAAGACGGCCAAAUGAUGGUUGUAUUAAAUACAUAUAUUCACAUGAAUUAUAUCAACCGUUGGAUGAUGAUUGUAUUAAUAUAUAUAUAUAUAUAUAUACAAACCCUUUAAGGGAAGGGAUCCCCAUUUUUCAAAAAAAAUGGAGACACCCUCUUGACCGUUAGAUUUGACUUUAAUAAAAUUCAAUGACUGAGAUUAAAUCACAGGCCACAGAAUCUCAACCACAGGAUUUCAUUAAAAUCAAAUCUAACAGUUAAGAAAAUGUCCCCAUUUUUUUUUUUGAAAAAUGGAGAUCCCUUCCCUUAAAGGCUUCCUAUAUAUAUAUUUAUAUAUAUAUAUAUAGUCAGCCCGAAAAGUUUGAGAACUGCCAUUAGCAAUCCUAAAGUCAUCAUGAAUCUUGACUGAUUAAUGUACUGUAAGGUCCAAAACCCAACUACUCUGCUGGCCCAUAAUAUUUUCUUCUCUUUUUUUGGGGUCAAAAGGCCCAUAUUUCAUCUACUUCAAAACAAUUAAACCCAGCGUCUGAUGGCCUACAGAUUUUAGUAAAAUCCCAUACAAAUAAAGGGAGACCCCCAAUAAGGUCCCGCUUUGUGAAGGUCGGGGGGGGGGGGGGGGGGGAGGAUAAACAUCUAUCAUACGCCUCUUUGUCUUUGCUUUACAAAGAGGUUAUUUUCAUGACUCGAACCUGUGACAUUUUGGUUACAAAUGAGCAAUCUUUCAUGCUUUCCCAUACAAAGGUAGACAAAAAACUAUACAAAGAUGCUUGCUUUCUUUGUUGUCCAAAAGUUUCAUCUAAUUAGUGUUAAACCAAUAGCAGUGACUAUAAGAGUGGAGGGGACUCCAAAUUUCAGAUGGCUCCAGAAGGACAAUGUGUAGGCAAGUUGUGGAGAUUGGCGAGCCUGCUCGCACACUAUCAAGUUGGCUGCUGAUCCCAAAAGCGACAGGUUUCCGGCCACGGUGCUCACCCAAGCUAAUAGGAGCCACGCCUUCUUCUCCUCCGCGGCAGAGAUUAGGGCCGCCGACGCUGCCACCCGCCCUCCAAGUAACAAAACUAUCCAACACAAGAAAAAAAAACAUGCAUGCUAAGUGGCUGCUGAAAGUUUGAGAAUAUUUUGGUUCUUAUAGAGUGCAAACGGAAAAUAAUAUCAGCAUACAUACCAGUUGGUACAUUUGAAGCCAAAUUUGACAGCACAAGUAUGGUGACUGCAAGAACUGCUAUCCCGCUAGCAUGAUCAAUUUGCGCAUGCGGCUCCAUGAAGUCCCAAAGAUCGCUUGGAAUGCCGGUCUUGUUGAAUCCAUUGACGGUUAUAAACAUUCCGCAGAAGAAAAUCAGGAGUGAAUAGGAAAUCUGUCAAAGAAAGAAAGAAACUUGUUAAUUUGUAAUCUAAUCUAACGUUCGGAGUGAACUUCGUGCUUCUGAAACUUACCUUUUCUAGGCUUGGACGGGCAUCCGUGAAGUCAAGAACAGCCAGAGCAAGUGCAGCAGUAAUCGCACACCACGACAUAUUGAGGCCCAUAAGCAGUGCAAUCAGCAUUCCUAUGGUAAUAAGGUAAACACCAGAUUUCCACAAUAUCCUUUUCCAUCUUUUGGUCAGAUGUUCCUUCCCUUCCAACGACUCCGUAGGAAAUGCAUCUGUUUGUCUAUCAUUCGAUGGAGACCUUUUUGAUGGGAUUGUUUCGUCCCUUUUAUGAGAAGACAAAUCAUUCGUCUCCUCUUUUGAUGCACUUGAAAUUCUUGCAGACUCUAUUGCCACUAGGAACCUUGUUCACUUCAUUCUCGCUAGAAGGUAAGCGGUUUCUAAGAGUCUCGACAUUACCUAUGCUCACAUUAAGAUUCGGAGAACUUUGUAGAGUCUGGAUUUCCAAUCUAGAGUUCAGUUCUUGAGAGUUUAAGGAUGUACUAUGUGACAAUGUAGCUGGUGAAAACCGAUGACAACUUACAUCCUCCUCUGGAACAGGUCCCAGAGCUGGAUCUUCCUCAUCCUUCUGGACAGACAACAAUCUCCAGAACAUACAUAGAAGAAUCAAAGCAUUCACACAGACUCCCACAAGCAUUGCAGGGAGAAUUCCAAUCACAAAUGUCCCGAAAGAUAUCUUACUCUGAACAGCUAUAACAAGGUUUUGAGGAUUGCCGAUCGGGGUUGCUGCAGACCCAAUGUUUGCACUCGAGGCAAGGGCGAGUAGGAAAGGAUGAGGUGGGAGGUUAUGUUGUCUUGCAACUUUCAAAACAAACUCGGUCAAAACCACACAAGAGGUGUCAUUGGUGAAGAGAGCGCUCGAAACUGUAGAAAUCAAACAGAUUCGACAGAGCAAGUCCCUUGCCCCUUGAGUUUUCCACAUGAGCAACUUGCCCAAAUACUUGAAUAUAUCUGCUCUUUCGAGAUAGAUACUCACAACCAUUGUCCCAAACAGAAGACCAAUGAUUGGGAGAUCAAUAGCAGCGUAUGCUUGAUCAGGAGUUAAGACUCGGAAAACAACCAUAAGCAUUGCCCCGAGGAGGGACCCUGCAGUCCUACCGAUUGGCAAGAAAGGGACAGCCGGAAACACAGCCAACACCCAAAAGACUGCAAAAGCAAUUGAGCCAAGAACCACUUUGACAGGAGAAGCCAUUGCCAUUUUCCCAACUUAAGACUGGAUGUGCUCCCUCCUGUGCACUCAGAUUUGAACCCCGUAGUCUAUAUUAGUUUAAAGUAGAAUAUCGCUUGUAUCAUAAGAAGCUGAAGAUCUUACUCAUGAUAGCUAACCAUAGCAUCAAUAUGAGCCAAAAACGAAAAGACCUGAACACGAAAACCAAUUCCAGUUGCACAAUAAGAUUUAAUAAAUAUUCAAAUUAGCGACUGAAAAACUAAGACCUGAGCCAAACAGCUUGAAUGCAACAGUAAACACAAACAAGAAGAUAAGGAUCAGUGUGCAGUAUUGCAACUUCGUGUGGACUGUAAGGCUGCGUUCGUUAGAAAUGGGGGACAACUUCCAAAUUUUUUUCUGAAUUGAAGGUAAAAGAUUGAGUGGUCAUGAAAGAAGUUAUCCCUUCUAACCUACUAUUGUAAAGAUUGAGUAGUCAUGAACAAAGUUAUCCCUUCUAAUCCUACUAUUGUUGUGGGAUUAGACGGGAAAACUUUCCUUCAUGAAUAAUUCAUCUUCUAUAUCCGUUUCUUCCCGAGUUAUCCUAUCCAAAGUCAAUCCUCUCAACAAUCGCAUCCUAAAUCUCAAUCAUUUACAAGAACCAAGCCAAGAUUGAAACGUUCAAUCUGUUUAAUAGCAAUAACUCAAUAGAAAUUUACAAAGAUUCAUCAGGAAAAAAAAAAAAAAGUUGAUGGAGAUUCGUUUACUAAUUUCAGCAAAAAACCUUAUCCAAAAACCACUGUAUUUGCUAUAAAUAGAAUGAAACAGAAAGGAAGCUCAAGCUGGACAGGAAAAAGUGCUUAACUUUUAAGCAAAAUCUAAACUAAUUAGCAUUACCAGGACCAAAAGAAACAAAGAUCUUACCUCGAAAAAUGGUUCAAGGAAGUGGGGAUUGAACUGCUUUUCCAUGUAACUACAUGAAGCAUAAAAAGUUCUUGGCUUUGGGAUUCUAACUUUUUUCUGUUUCGGGUAAAUUAAUAAAUAAGUAAAAAGGAAAUCGAUCGAUUUGCAGUGGGUGGAGCUUCUUCUCAGUUCCCAUAUGAUCAGGAUCCUCUCCCGAGCUAAGGGUGAGGAGAACCAAGAAAUGUGGAUUAUUGGAUGAAAAUUCAACGGUUAUAAUUAUUAUAACUUUAAAGGUAUCCUUCUGUUUGUAGUCGUUGAAUAAAAAUACAACACCCACACUUUUUUAUCAGGAGGAUCCUUAUCCUUAGCUCAGGAGAGGAUCUGAUCCGUUCCCAUAUCCACACGAUGAAAUUUAAAAUAAAAAGCUAGAAACUUUGACUUUGAUUAUCUUUGUCUUUAAUAUAUGUUUGAUGCUCUUUAAGGUCGUACCAAUCACAAUCCCACAUUAAUGAAUUCAUCUCAAUCCAAUGAGAAAUUUUACAAUGUGCCGAAAAUACCGUUCGUUAACAUUGUUAUAAUACAAGUUAUUGGAUCUAUUUCUUCAUUUUUUUUUGUUUGGAAUUAACAGUUUGGCAAUGAAACGAACUGAAAUUGUUUAUAUUCAUCAUCUAUAAUGAACUAAAUGUUUAUAUCUCAAUACUAAUGUGUCGAUGUUAUUGUUGCUAACAAAACGUAACAGAAUAUAUAUUUUCAAUAAUAUUAUACACGUUUGUAAUUUCUACCUAUUCUUCCGGUUUGUUUUUUGUUCACAAAGAAUUUCUACCUAUUCUUCUAGCAUUUAGAUUGCAUAAAUCAAAUACUCAAAUACCAGAACAAAGAAAUAAACGCGGAGAGAAAAAAAAUACGGCAUUUAUAUUGCAUAAAUUAAACAAAACAAGGACAAAAACAAAGAAAUAAAAACAGAAAAAACUUUUUUUAAAAAGUAUGAAAAUCACUGUCUAAAAAAAUGCAUUUUUUAUAGGGAACUUUAACAAAAAGUUCACGGUACUGUUUAUUUUAACAAAAAAUCACAUUUUUACACUAAAAAGUCAAUCAUAGUACUAUUCAUUUUACCCUUUAUUUUGUCCUUAUCGUUAAAACUUAAAGUUUUCAAACUCUGUUUAUUAGUUUUUCUUAUUUUAUAUGAUGCAAAUAUGGGGACUUCGCUCUUAUUCUUAUACUUUUCUUUAGAGUUUUAUUAUUAUAUUUAUAAAUUACAGGUUUUCAACGUAAAAAAGUUCGUACUGUAUUUCAGAUUUUAGUGAUUUUUUAUAGAUGUGAUUUUUAAGUGGACAUUUAAAAAAUAGACGAUUAUGAUCGUUAAAAUACGCUAAAAAGUAGGUUCUAAAAAAACGUGAGUAAAAAAAAUAGUGUUACCAAUAUGCACCUAAUGGUACAACCUUUUUUAAUCUGUUGCCUGCAGGAUUUAAUAUUUUUCUGAAUCUCUGUGAACCGAUAUCUGGUUUGAAAUUAUGAGAAAUUGGAAGUGUUAGAUCGGAUAGGGGUGGAAGUAAAGGACAGGUCUCUCGACAUCUAGCAGAUAUUCUCGGAUUUGAGAGAGUGGGAGAUCCGGGGAUUUAUCUCGGGGUUCCUGCUAUAUGGGGAAGAUCUAAGAAAGCUGGGCUGGCCUAUGUUAAAGGCAGGCAUUUGGAUAAGCUGCAAGGUUGGAAAAAAUCAACUCUUUCACAAGUUGGACGAGAGAUCCUGAUUAAGGUGGUGGCACAAGCAAUCCCGGCUUAUCCAAUGAAUUUGUUUAAGUUUCCUAUAUUGUUUUGUAACGAAUUGGAUGCCUUGUUAUCUAAAUUCUGGUGGGGUCAACAAGGUGAAAAUCGGAUCCAUUGGGUAUCCAGGGAGAGGUUGGGUCAGCUGAAAGAGGAAGGGGGUCUCAGCCUAAGGAGCUUUGUGAUGUUCAAUGACGCUCGGUUGGCCAAAUAGUGUUGGAGGUUGAUUUUGGAACCUACAUCCUUAUAGGCACUUGUGCUUAAGGCCCGUUAUUUUCCUAAUUGCUCUUUCCUUGAUGCUAAGAAGGGUGGGAGAGCUUCUUAGGUUUGGUCUAGCCUUCUGGCUGGAAGAGAGAUUCUGAGGAAUGGUGCCCAUUGGCAGAUCAUGGAUGGAAAUGACAUGAGGGUUUGGGUGGACAGAUGGCUCCCCUCCAUUCCUUUGGGUAGACCGUCCCCGUUGGGUUCAGUUCAAGUCUCAAAAAAUCUAAAGGUGAAGUCGCUAAUUUGUCCUGAGAGUGGGGAAUGGGAAAUUGAUUUUUUAAAACCUUUCUUGGCAGAUUCGGAGAUUGAGGCAAUAUUGGAUAUGCAUACUGGUGAUCCGACGCUCAAGGACAUAUUGGUUUGGCCUUAUGACAAUAGGGGGUCUUAUUCUGUCAAAUCAGGUUAUUAUUGGAGUCUCACUCGAAAUAUUGAUUGCAGCCUUCAAUCAAACCGGUUGGUCUCCAUUCCUACUACCUUAUGGAAGAUUGUCUGGAAGUUGAAGGUACCUCCAAAAAUAAGAACUUUCAUGUGGAAGACCCUGCAUGCGGCUUUAGCUACUAUGAAGAAUUUAUAUAUUCAUAGAUCUUCUCCUUGUCCCAUUUUCCCUCUAUGUAACUCUAAUGAUGAGUCCAUUGAACAUCUCUUUCUUUUUUGUCCAUGGGUGGAGGUGGUUUGGUUUGGGGGUAUGUUGAACUUGCAACCUCAUUGGCUGCAUGUUUCGAGCUGGGCAAACUGGAUCGUGCAAAUGGGUGAUGCGGAGAUUGGGUCCAUGGAGGUGAGGAUUAAUCAGAUAUCUUAUAUUGCUUUCACAUGCUGGCAUAUUUGGAAAUCAAGAUGUGAAUUUCAGUUCAACAAUCAAGUUAUCUACCUCAGCAGGAUGGUUGCUGUUAUCUCCAGAUCGGUCUCGACUUAUCAGGAAUCAAUCAAUAGGCCGAGUUCCCCAUCUUUGCUCAAUCAACCGAGUAUGGGUGAUGGAGUGCAGUGGUCUCCUUCGAAUCAAGGAGUUAUCAAAAUUAAUAUGGAUGCUAGCUGGGAGGCAAGUGUGGGUAAGGGUUUCACGGGGAUGGUGGCAAGGGAUGAGCAUGGUCGGUUUUUGGCUGCUUUUAGGCAUAAGAUCAAGGCUACUGGUGCUACUAUGACGGAAGCUUUGGCCAUUAUGCAUGGGUGUAAUCUGGGGGUAAGAAACGGAUGGAAUUCGAUAUAUAUUGAAUCUGACUCUUUCGAAGCAUUAUCUUGCCUGAGGGAUCCGGCAAAGAAGGGCAGUUGGGAUGCUUUUCCCAUUCUUAGGAAGUGCUUUAGAUUGGGAAUGGCUUUUCAAGCUUGUCGCUGGUCUUGGGUACCAAGACUGGCCAACACGGUCACGGACUUUUUGACGUCGCGAAAAUGUAGGGAAGUAUGUGAUCUCUGUUGGGUCAAUAGACCCCCAUCUUCCCUGGUCCAUGUCUUAUGCAAUGAUGGCCUUCCUUGCCCCUCUUAGUAGUUUUUUGAUAGCUUGAGAAGGGACGCUUUAUCAUUAGACGCGGCGUCAUGGUUCCCUUGUACCUUCUUGUUCUAUUUUCUGUUGUUGUUUCUGUUGUUUGAUUGCCUCUUUGGUAGGCUUUCUUGUAAUCUUUUGGCAUCUUUGCCCGGUUAUAGCUUAUCUGAUUUCCAAAAAAAAAAAAGUACUUUUAUUAGAAGCAUGUCAAAAACUUUAAUUAAAAUGAGGCACUAGUUGGUAAUGAACUCUAAGCUCCAAAAAGUGUUUUUAUAAUCCAUAAUUAGUUUUAAUACGUGUCUAGUAUUUCUUCUAAAAUGGUUAAAAAAUCUAUCUAAUAAUCAAAAUGUUUUUUUUUUAUUAUGUUUAACAAAUAAACUUAAAAGCAUGUUUAUGUUGAAAAAACACGUCUAAAAAAAAUCAACAAAAAUGUGUUUCCAACCAAAGCAGUUCCAAACAAACCCUCAAUUAUUUCUAAGCACUACAAAAACCUAUUGGUGUGCAAUUAGCCACACUGCAAUAUUCAUCUCGAUCCAGCUGAUGGUGAUGAGGUUUGGAGUUGGCGCCAUGAACUUUUUUCCACAUGACAUGCUGCCCUAACGCUUUCCUUCUUGUUUUAUCAUGUCUCCUGGUUUGUUGGUCACAGCCUGUUCCCAGUUUGCAUUUCUGCCCUGUUUUGGGCAGUGAGUAGGACAGAGACUUUGAGCUUUUUUAACAACAAAAAGACCAGACGGUGGCUUCUCCACGUUAGUCUACCUCUUUCAGAAGCUGGAAAAACUCACAUAAACAUUUCAACCUCCCAUAGUCAUCAUCGUAUGAUUCACCAGAAUCAAUAAUUGAACACAGGAUCAAAAUGUACUGUGUAGAAUACAGGUCAAGAAUUUGUCUCAACCACUAGACCACCCCGUGGUGGUUGAUAGAGACUUGAGCUUUGAAUCACUCGAUUUCGUUGAGUAUUGAAGAAGUUAUGAACGUUUAAAGUUUACCUAGUUUUCGGCGAGUUUUCCAGUUUUCCCACGGACCAGUCAAAUUUCAGGCUAUAUUCCGGCCAUCUAUGGCAACAAUUGAGCUUCCAAAUAGGUAUAAUCUUGUUCUACACUUACCUAUCUUCAUUUUGAUAUAUUAUGGGUCGAAUUUGGUUAAGAAACGAUUAAGUUACAAAACUUUUAAAAUUGACCAUUUCUAUUGAUUAUGCAAAUCUUAAGAACCAUUUUGGCUUUGAGCCUAUAGUAGUACUACGUUCUAGUGAUAUUUCUCUUCACUUGUGUUGAUGCACAAAACCGGAGGUCUUGGAACAACGUAAAUCCGACCGUGAAUCUGCAUUAAAUGUAAAUAACACAAGAUGUAUCGUGGUUCACCCCAAGGUUUGGGCUACUUCCACACUGAUUAUGUAUUUCUUUGUUUGUGAGGGAGAGAGAUUCAGAGCCUCUCAGGGAGAGAGUGAGGUCUCUGAUGGCCUAGGAAUUGGCCUCCCCUUAAUUGUGAGGGUGAGGAGUCCUUUUAUAGAAUAAGGGCUCCUCACUUCUUAUAUAUUUGCCCCUUCCUUUAUUACAUAAUUACAUUUAAGUCUCCCGAGUAUUUAUACGAGAUUUAAAUACGGAAGCCCUAAGUAUGGUACAAACAACUUGUAAGUGAGAUGUCUAAGGUUCAGCUCUAGCCAAAGACUAAUUUGAACUACAUUAUUGUUAGCCCAUUGUGAGGCUAAACCCACCCCCAUAGCGAAAAUAAUAUUGUUUCUUAAAAAACAAAAGGGACCCCAACCAACAAGGCUUCAUGCUUUGCGAGGGCCAGGGGAACUUCUAUCGUACGCAUCCUUACCCUUACUUUGCAAAGAGGAUAUUUUCAUGACUUGAACCCGUGACCUUUCGAUCACAAAGGAGCAACCUUUCCCAUACAAAUGUAGAAAUAAAACUAUACAAAGAUGCUUGCCCUCCACAAGGACAAUGUGUAGGCAAGUUGUGGAGAUUGGCGAGCCUGCUCGCACACUAUCAAGUUGGCUGCUGAUCCCAAAAGCGACAGGUUUCCGGCCACGGUGCUCACCCAAGCUAAUAGGAGCCACACCUUCUUCUCCUCCGCGGCAGAGAUUAGGGCCGCCGACGCUGCCACCCGCCCUCCAAGCAACAAAACUAUCCAACACAUAAGAAAGAAAAUACAUGUUAAGUGGCUGCUGAAAGUUUGAGAAUAUUUGUAGUGCAGACAGAAAAUAAUAUCAAGAUAUAUACCAGUUGGUACAUUUGAAGCCAAAUUCGACAGCACAAGUAUGGUGACUGCAAGAACUGUUAUCCCGCUAGCAUGAUCAAUUUGCGCAUGGGGCUCCAUGAAGUCCCAAAGAUCGCUUGGAAUGCCGGUCUUGUUGAAUCCACUGACGGUUAUAAACAUUCCACAGAAGAAAAUCAAGAACGAAUAGGAGACCUGUCAAAGAAAGAGAAUCAAACUUGUUAACAUUUGUAGUCUAAUCUAACAUACGGAGAGCGAUACUUACCUUUUCUAGGCUUGGACUGGCAUCCGUGAAGUCAAGAACAAUCAGAGCAAGUGCAGCAGUAAUCGCACACCACGACAUAUUGAGGUCCAUAAGCAGUGCAAUCAGCAUUCCUAUAGUAAUAAGGUAAACACCAGAUUUCCACAACAUCCUUUUCCAUCUUGUGGUUAGAUGUUCCUUCCCUUCCAACGACUCCGUAGGAAAUGCAUCUGUUUGUCCAUCAUUCAAUGGAGACCUUUUUGAUGGGAUUGUUUCGUCCCUUUUAGUAGAAGACAAAUCAUUCGUGUCCUCUUUUGAUGCACUUGAAAUUCUUGCAGGCUCUAUCGCACCACUAGGAACCUUGUUUAUUUCAUUCUUGCUCGAAGGUAAGCAGUUUCUGAGAGUCUCAACAUUACCUACGCUCACAUUAACAUUUGAAGAGGUUUUUACAGCCGGGGUUUCCAAUCUAGAGUUUAAGGAUGCACUAUGUGACAACGUAGUUGGUGAAAACCGAUGAGAACUUACAUCAUCCUCUGCAACAGGUUUCUGAGCUGGAUCUUCCUCAACCUUCUGGACAGACAACAAUCUCCAGAACAUACAUAGAAGAAUCAAAGCAUUCACACAAACUCCCACAAGCAUUGCAGGGAGAAUUCCAAUCACAAAUGUCCCGAAAGAUAUCUUACUCUGUACAGCUAUAACAAGGUUUUGAGGAUUGCCAAUCGGGGUUGCGGCAGACCCAAUGUUUGCACUCGAGGCAAGGGCAAGUAGGAAAGGAUGAGGCAGGAGGUUAUGUUGUCUUGCAACUUUCAGAACAAACUCGGUCAAAACCACACAAGAGGUGUCAUUGGUGAAGAGGGCGCUCGAAACUGCAGAUAGAGUUUUCCACAUGAGCAACUUGCCCAAAUACUUGAACAUAUCUGCUCUUUCGAGAUACAUACUCACAACCAUUGUCCAAAAACAGAAGACCGAUGAUUGGGAGAUCAAUAGCUGCAUAUGCUUGAUCAGGAGUUAAGACUCGGAAAACAACCAUAAGCUUUGCCCCAAGGAGGGACCCUGUAGUCCUCCCAAUUGGCAAGAAAGGGACAGCCGGAAACACAGCCAACACCCAGAAGACUGCAAAAGCAAUCGAGCCAAGAACCACUUUGACAGGAGAAGCCACUGCCAUUUUUCCAACUUAAGAGUAGGUGAGCUCCCUCCUAUGCACUCAAAUUGGAACCCCGUAAUUUAUAUUAGUUUAAAGUUGAAUAUCGCUUGUAUCAUAAGAAGCUGAAGAUCUUACUCAUGAUAGCUAACCAUAGCAUCAAUACGGACCAAAAACGAAAAGACCUGAACACAAAAACCAAUCCCAGUUGCACAACUAGUUUUACCAAAGAUUCAGCUUAGAGACUGAACUAGACCUGAACCAAGCAACUUGAGUGUAAACAGUAAAACAAACAAAUUAUAUAUAAGGAUCAGUGUACUGCAGUAUUGCAACUUCGCGUGGACUGUAAGGCUGCAUUCGUUAGAAAUGGAGGACAACUUCCAAAUUUUGUCUGAAUUGAAGUUAAAAGAUUGAGCAGUCAUGAACGAAGUUAUCCCUUCUAAUCCUACUAUUGUUGUGGGAUUAGACGGGAAAACUUUCCUUCAUGAAUAAUUCAUCUUCUAUAUCCGUUUCUUCCCGAGUUAUCCUAUCCAAAGUCAAUCCUCUUAACAAUCUCAUUCUAAAUCUCAAUCAUUUACAAGAACCUAGCCAAGAUUGAAACAUUCAAUCUCUUUAAUAGCAAUAACUCAAUAGAAAUUUACAAAGAUUCAUCAGGAAAAAAAAAAAGUUAAUGGAGAUUUGUUUGCUAAUUUCAGCAAAAACCCUUGUCCAAAAAACCACUGUAUUUGCUAUAAAUAGAAAGAAACAGAAAGGAAGCUCAGGCUGGACGGAAAAAAGUGCUUAACUUUUAAGCAAAAGCUAAACUAACUAGCAAUACCAGGACCAAAAGAAACAAAGAUCUUACCUCGAAAAAAGGUUCAAGGAAGUAGGGAUUGAAUUGAACUGCUUUUCCAUGAUCUGCUGCCAGAAUCAGAACAUAUAACCACAUGAAACAUAAAGAGAAGUUGGCUUCAACUUUUUUCUGUUUCGGGUAAUUAAUAAAUAAGUAAAAAGGGAAUCGAUCGAUUUGCAGUGAGUGGAGCUUCUUCUCAGUUCACAAAUCGACACAAUGAAAUUUAAAAUAAAAAGCUAGAAACUUUGACUGUUAUCAUCUUUGUCCUUAAUAUAUGUUUGAUGCUCUUUAAGGUCGCACCAAUCAAUAUCCCACGUUAAUGAAACCAUCUGAGUCCAUUGAGAAAUUUUUCAUUGUGCCGAAACAAAUCCCAUACAAAUAAAAGGAGACUCCAAGCUAAUAAGGUCCCGCGCUUUGUGAAGGUUGGGGGGAGAAUAAACAUCUAUCAUACGCAUCUUUGUCUUUGCUUUGUAAAGAGGUUAUUUUCACGACUCGAACCCGUGACAUUUUGGUUACAAAGGCGCAAUCUUUCAGGCUUGCCCAUACAAAGGUAGAAAUAAAACUAUACAAAGAUGCUUUCUUUGUUGUCCAAAAGUUUCAUCUAAUUAGUGUUAAACCAAUAGCAGUGACUAUAAGAGUGGAGGGGACUCCAAAUUUCAGAUGGCUCCAGAAGGACAAUGUGUAGGCAAGUUGAGGAGAUUGGCGAGCCUGCUCGCACACUAUCAAGUUGGCUGCUGAUCCCAAAAGCGACAGGUUUCCGGCCACAGUGCUCACCCAACCUAAUAGGAGCCACGCCUUCUUCUCCUCCGCAGCAGAGAUUAGGGCCGCUGACGCUGCCACCCGCCCUCCAAGCAACAAAACUAUCCAACACAAAAGAAAAAAAAACAUGCAUGUUAAGUGGCUGCUGGAAGUAUGAUAAUAUUUUGGUUCUUAUAGAGUGCAAACGGAAAAUAAUAUCAGCAUACAUACCAGUUGGUACAUUUGAAGCCAAAUUUGACAGCACAAGUAUGGUGACUGCAAGAACUGCUAUCCCGCUAGCAUGAUCAAUUUGCGCAUGCGGCUCCAUGAAGUCCCAAAGAUUGCUUGGAAUGCCGGUAUUGUUGAAUCCAUUGACGGUUAUAAACAUUCCGCAGAAGAAAAUCAAGAGUGAAUAUGAAACCUGUCAAAGAAAGAAGGAAACUUGUUACAUUUGUAAUCUAAUCUAACGUUCGGAGUGAACUUCGUGCUUGUGAAACUUACCUUUUCUAGGCUUGGACGGGCAUCCGUGAAGUCAAACAACCAGAGCAAGUGCAGCAGUAAUCGCACACCACGACAUAUUGAGGCCCAUAAGCAGUGCAAUCAGCAUUCCUAUAGUAAUAAGGUAAACACCAGAUUUCCACAAUAUCCUUUUCCAUCUUUUGGUCAGAUGUUCCUUCCCUUCCAACGACUCCAUAGGAAAUGCAUCUGUUUGUCUAUCAUUCAAUGGAGACCUUUUUGAUGGGAUUGUUCUGUCCCUUUUAGGAGAAGACAAAUCAUUCGUGUCCUCUUUUGAUGCACUUGAAAUUCUUGCAGACUCUAUCGCACCACUAGGAACCUUGUUCGCUUCAUUCUCGCUAGAAGGUAAGCGGUUUCUAAGAGUCUCGACAUUACCUAUGCUCACAUUAACAUUCAGAGAACUUUGCACAGUUGGGGUUUCCAAUCUAGAGUUCAUUUCUUGAGAGUUUAAGGAUGUACUAUGUGACAAUGUAGCUGGUGAAAACCGAUGAGAACUUACAUCCUCCUCUGGAACAGGUUCCAGAGCUGGAUCUUCCUCAUCCUUCUGGACAGACAACAAUCUCCAGAACACACAUAGAAGAAUCACAGCAUUCACACAAACUCCCACAAGCAUUGCAGGGAGAAUUCCAAUCACAAAUGUCCCGAAAGAUAUCUUACUCUGUACAGCUAUAACAAGGUUUUGAGGAUUGCCAAUCGGGGUUGCUGCAGACCCAAUGUUUGCACUCGAGGCAAGGGCGAGUAGGAAAGGAUGAGGCGGGAGGUUAUGUUGUCUUGCAACUUUCAAAACAAACUCAGUCAAAACCACACAAGAGGUGUCAUUGGUGAAGAGAGCGCUCGAAACUGCAGAAAUCAAACAGAUUCGACAGAGCAAGUCCUUUGCCCCUUGAGUUUUCCACAUGAGCAACUUGCCCAAAUACUUGAACAUAUCUGCUCUUUCGAGAUAGAUACUCACAACCAUUGUCCCGAACAGAAGACCAAUGAUUGGGAGAUCAAUAGCUGCGUAUGCUUGAUCAGGAGUUAAGACUCGGAAAACAACCAUAAGCAUUGCCCCGAGGAGGGACCCUGCAGUCCUACCGAUUGGCAAGAAAGGGACAGCCGGAAACACAGCUAACACCCAAAAGAAUGCAAAAGCAAUCGAGCCAAGAACCACUUUGACUGGAGAAGCCAUUGCCAUUUUUCCAACUUAAGACUGGAUGUGCUCCCUCCCGUGCACUCAGAUUUGAACCCCGUAAUCUAUAUUAGUUUAAAGUAGAAUAUCGCCUGUAUCGUAAGAAGCUGAAGAUCUUACUCGUGAUAGCUAACCAUAGCAUCAAUACGGGCCAAUUCCACUUAGCUAAACGAAAAGACCUGAACACGAAAACCAAUUCCAGUUGCACAAUCAGAUUUAAUAAAGAUUCAACUUAGAGACUGAAUUAGACCAGGACCAAACAGCUUGAAUGCAAACGAUAAAACAAACAAGAAGUUCUAUAUAAGGAUCAGUGAGCAGCAGUAUUGCAACUUUACGUGAACUGUAAGGCUGCGUUCGUUAGAAAUAAGGACAACUUCCAAAUUUUGUCCGAAUUGAAGGUAAACGAUUGAGUAGUUAUGAACGAAGUUAACCCUUCUAAUCCUAUUAUUGUUGUGGUAUUAGACGGGAAAACAUUCCUUCAUGAGUAAUUAAUUCAUCUUUUUAUCUUUGAAGUUGCUAUCUAUUUCUUCCCGAGUUAUCCUAUCCAAUGUCAAUCCUCUUAACAAUCGCAUCCUAAAUCUCAAUAAUUUACAAGAAGAACCAAGCCAAGAUUGAAUCUUUCAUUCUGUUUAAUAGCAACAACUCAAUAGAAAUUUACAAAAAUUCAUCAGGAAAAAAAAAGUUAAUGGCGAUUUGUUUGCUAAUUUCAACAAAAACAACCCACUGUAUUUGCUAUAAGUAGAACGAAACAGAAAGGUAGCUCAAGCUGGACGGAGAAAAGUGCUGAACUUUUAAGCAAAAUCGAAAUUAAUUAGCAAUACCAAGACCAAAAGAAACAAAGAUCUUACCUCGAAAAAAGGUUAAAGGAAGUGGGGAUUGAACUGCUUUUCUGUUUCCGGUAAUUUAUAAAUAAGUUAAAAGGGAAUCGAUCGAUUUGCAGUGAGUGGGGCUUCUUCUCAGUUCCCAAAUCGACACAAUGAAAUUUAAAAUAAAAAGCUAAAAACUUUGACUGUGAUUAUCUGUCUUUAAUAUAUCCUUGAUGCUCUUUAAGGUCAUAUGUAAUAUCUCAUAUCGACUAACAGAUAGGGGAUAAUAUGACUUAUAUGUACAUGCUCUCUUUUUUAUAGCACGAGGCUUUUUGGGCAUUCACUAGCUUCGGAACUCCGAAGUUAAGCGAGUUCGGGCGAGAGCAAUCCUAUGAUGGGUAACCCAUUGGAAAGUUCUGGUCUGGCUUCUUAGAAACAAAUCCGUGAGGGAAUGGUAAGCCCAAAACGGACAAUAUCGUGCUACGGCGGAGUCGAGACUGGAAUGUGACAGAAUGGUAUCAGAGCCACUCUGCUAUUUGGUGCAGAUGUGCCAGCGAGGACGUCGGGUUCUCCUUAAGUGGGGUGGAUUGUAAGAUCUCACAUCGACCAACGAAGAGGGCGACCCACUGGGAAGUUGCUCUGAGUUCCCAUAAACAAAAUCGUGAAGGCGUGGUCCAAAGCGGACAAUAUCGUAUAACGGUGGAGUUGGGAUUGAGAUGUAUCAGUUUGGUAUCAGAGCCAUUAUGUCGUGUGAUGCGAAUAUGCUAACGAGGACGUUGGACCCCUAAGGGGGGUGGAUUGUAACAUCCUACAUCGACCAACAAAGAGGGGGUGAUGUGCUUUAUAUGUACAUGUCCACCUUUUAUAGAACAGGGUCUUUUGAGAACUUAUUGGCUUCGGGUUCCAUCGGAACUCCGAAGUUAAGCGAGUUCGGGCGAGAGCAAUUCUAGGAUGGGUAACCCACUGAAAAGUUCUCGUGUGAGUUCCCAGAAACAAAACCGUGAGGGUGUGGCCCAAAGUGGACAAUAUCAUGCUACGGCGAAGCAGACUGGGAUGUGACAUAAUGGUAUCAGAUCCACUCUGCUGUUUGGUGCGAAUGUAUCGGCGAGGACGCCGAAUUCCCCUUAAGUGAGGUGGAUAACCCACUGGGAAGUUCUCGUGUGAGUUCCCAGAAACAAAAUCAUGAGAGUGUGGCCCAAAGCGGAUAAUAUCGUGUUACGGCGAAGCCAGACUGGGAUGUGACAUAAUGGUAUCAGAGCCACUCUGCUGUUUGGUGCGAAUGUACCGGCGAGGACGCCGGGUUCCCCUUAAGUAAGGUGGAUUGUAAGAUCCCACAUCAACCAACGGAGAGGAGGGUGAUGUGCCUUAUAUGUACAUGCUCAUCUCCCUAUAGCAUGAGGCAUUUUGGGAACUCAUUGGCUUCGGAUUCUAUCGGAACUCCGAAGUUAAGCGAGUUCAGGCAGCAAUCCUAGGAUGGGUGACCCACUGAGAAGUUCUCGUCGGAGUUCUCAGAAACAAAUCCGUGAGGGAAUGGUAAGCCCAAAGCAGACAAUAUCGUACUACAGCAGAGUCGGAUGUGACAUCAUACCAGUCACAAUCCCACAUGAAUGAAACCAUCUCAGUCCAAUGAGAAUUUUUACAAUGUGCCGAAAACACUGUCCAUUACACAGUGUCUUAAUACAAAUAGUUGGAUAUAUUUUUUCCUUUUUUUCAUUCGGAAUUAACAAUCUAGCCUUGAAACAAGCAUAAAUUGUUUAUAUUCAUCAUCUAGAGUGAACUAAAUGUUGGUUUUUUAACUUUAAUCCGUCAAAAAGAUUGAAAUUUAAAAUAAAUUCGAUUACAUAUUGAUUAUAGUUCCUUGAUAUGUCUUCAAUUCAAGAUAAUUAAUGUGCAUUUUAUUUAAUGUCUCCCAUUAAAUAUUUAAUUUAUUAAUUUUAUUUAACAUUCAUCAAACUUGAAAUACUCAAUUAAUGUACCUAAAUGUUAGUACCGAAAUGUAUUAUAUUGAACUAAUGUAUUUAAAUGUUAUUACCGAAACGGAUUAUAUUGAACUAAUGUAUUUAAAUGUUAGUACCAAAAUAGAUGUACUGAAAUAUAUGCACCGAAAUGUAUUAUAUUAAAUUAAUGUACCUAAAUGCGUGUACCGAAAUGUAUGCACCAAAAUAUUAGUACUGAAAUGUAUUAUAUUGAAUUAAUGUACUUAAAUGUUUGUAUCGAAAUGUAUGUACUAAAAUGUGUGUACCUAAAUGUAUGCAUCAAAUUGUAUUAUAAUGAAUUUAAUGUACCUAAAUGAAGAAGACAAAUUACAUCGAAGGAUAUUGUAUAACAAAAAUUAGUUUAUCUAAAUGUUUACAACAAAAUAUAUUACGAUAAAUGAAAUGAAAAUCUCUACUAAUUAAUGAAACCCUCUUUGUCAAUCAAAAGAGGGUGAAAAGACAAAUUAGUCUUCUAUCACUAAAAAAAAUGAUGGCCAAUAAUGUAAUUUCACAGGUCCAAAUUUUACUGUUUUUUAUUGAAACCUCAUAUGAAGAUGAAGUUAAAAUACCUUCAAUAUUAAAAUAAAUAAAUAAAUAAAUAAAACUAAAAAAUAAAAAAAUCUCUAAAAAUAAACCCCCACGUUCUCUCUCUCUCCCUCUCUCCUUCUCAUUUUAAAAAAAAAUGUGUUCAUACACACAAGUGUAUAGGCAAAUGUUAUUUUAAAAAAAAUAAAAAAUUGUAAAAGUAAUAAUUAUAAAUGUUAUAAUAAAGUUAUUAAAAGGAUAAAAUUACGAAAAAAAAAAAUUAAAAAAUCAAAUUAAUUAAUAAAUGAAGUUAUUAAUGUAUCAAGGGACUAAAAUACUAAUAUUUUGAUCUUACUAAAAAGUUUUAGUAUUAUAAAGUCAUCUUUGCCGAUUAGAAUGAAGUUUUCUAUAAUGUAAUCAAUGUAUCUCAAUACUAAUUUUGUUGAUUUUGUUAUUGUUCGCUUUAAACAUAAAGAAAUAAUUAUAUUUCCAAUGUAUUAUUUUUUUUUCAUCAUGCACAAAGAAUUUUUUAAUUAUAUCCUUCAAUUUAUUAUUAUAUUACAACAUUUGUUCUUUUCAUGCACAAAAGAAUUAAUCAUACCUAUUCUAUCUAGGUUUUAUUUUUUAGUUCACAUACAAAGAAUUCUACCUAUUCUCCUAGAAAUAAGAUUGCAUAAAUCAAAAAUCAAAUAAAAAAAACAAAGAAAUAAAAGCGGAGAGAAAAAAACAUGGUAUUUAUAUUGUAUAAAUUAAACAAUACAAGGACAAAAACAAAGAAAUGACCAUGGCUUCCCUGUCCAUGAAAAUUGUAGAUAAUCGUGGCUUGCCACCGUUGUCCUUCCUUUAAAAAAAAAAACAAAAAAAAAAAAAAACAAAGAAAUAAAAAUAGAAAAAACUCAAAAAAAAAAAAAAAGUAUGAAAAUCACGAUCUAAAUCAAAUGCCUUAUUUUAUAUGAUGCAAAUAUGGGGACUUCACUCUUAUUCUUAUACUUUUCCGCAGAGUUUUAUUUUUAUUAUUAUAUUUAAAAAUUAUGGGUAAAAAAGUUUGUACUCUAUUUUAGUGAGAGCAACAAAAUGAUAAUGUUUAGUCGAUCUGGAUCUUUUGUUUAUUGGGACAGAUCGGCGAUAUCAUUUUUACACAUUUUUUAAGGGAAUUAUUAUUGAUACCUCAAAAUUUUUAUUUUGUAUUUUAAAUAUUUUAUAAUUAGAAAGAAAAAUAUAUUUGUAAGGAUUGUAGAAUAAAAUUUUUUGAGUACUAAACCCUUAAUCUGACGGUGAAGUAAUUUCAUAUUUGAGUGAUUUGUUAAACAUAAUCUUCGAGUGGAGAUAAAAAAGAUAAACUAUUCGGAUCGUUAAAAUACACUAAGAGGUAGUCUCUAUAAAACAUGAGUUAAAAAAAAUAGUUACCGAUCGGCACCUAAUAUUACAACCUUUUUUAAUCUGUUGCCUGCGUAAUUUAAUAUUUACUGAAUCUCUGUGAACCGAUCUCUGGUUUGAACUUUGAUCUGAUGACAAAUUGGAAGUGUUAGACCGGAUAGGGAGUGGAAGAAAAAGAUGAAUUGUGACACGGCGUUCCAAGACAAACGCCUAAUCCUGUCAUUAUUUUCUCAUAAGAUGAUAGACUUGAUAGCGAAGCAAGACUUGCAAGAAAUUAUUUAAUGUCAGUUAUGUAACCUAUAAAUCUUUUUUUUUUCGUAGAUGACGCCGACCAAGUGAGGCCCGAUCAAUAAAAUUGUAGAAUGAGACUCUUUAACGCAUUAGCAACAAAAUUAGGUUUGCAAUAGAUAUAUUAAACAUGUACGAUGCUUAGAUGGAUCAGCAACAAAACUAGCAUGCGUGAUGUAACAUGUUUUGGUUUUUGGUUUUGUCUACUAUGUUGCCAAGAGAGAAAAACAAACAAGAAAGAAAUAAAAUUGAAUGAUAGAUUAAUUAAAGAUGUCAUUAAAAAAUAUUGAAUCAUACAGAUUCAUAAUUAUAAAAGCAUUUAAGAUUUUCAUACGGCAUGUUUUUUAUUUAAUUUUUUGUGUCGGUAAAUUACACGAUUAGACUAAAAAAAGUUGAACUAUCUUUGUAAGUGUUACCUACCCCUAAAAAUAUAAACUAUCGUAAAGAAACUGUUAGCUGAUUCUUUUUAACCUAAAAAAGUUAUGUGAUAAUCAUAACCAAAUAAUGUGACACAUUUUAUUAAACCAUUAACGUCAAUUUCACAUGCAAUAAAGAAUUGGAAGUCUAAUAUUUUGAGCUAAAUAGGUGUCAGAAAGAGUCAAAAAUACCUUCCUCGAAUGAGCUGCCCUCAUGUGUAAUUUUAUUUUUUUAUUUUUUAUUUUGAAGUCCUCAUGUGUAGGUUUUUCUCAACUUAUAGCCCAUAUUAAUUAUUAAAAAAAUGUCAAGGACGGUUUGCUGAAAUUUGUAUUUGUACUAAACACUUCUACCUAUAAGCACUUACAUUAUUUAAAAGUACUUUCAUUAGAAGCGUGUAAGAAAUUUUAAUUAAAAUGAGGCACUAGUUGGUAAUGAACUCUAACCUCCAAAAAGUGUUUUUAUAAUCCAUAAUUAGUUUUAAUGCGUGCUUAGUAUUUCUUCUAAAACGGCUAAAAAUGCUAUCUAAUAAUCAAAAUGUUUUUUUUUUACUACAUUUAACAAAUAAAAUUAAAAGCACGUUUAUGUUGAAAAAAAACGCGUUUAAAAAAAUCAACAAAAAUGUGUUUCCAACCGAGGCAGUUCCAAACAAACCCUCAAUUAUUUCUAAGCACUACAAAAACCUAUUGGUGUGCAAUUAGCCACACUGCAAUAUGCACCUCGAUCCAGCUGAUGGUGAUGAGGUUUGGAGUUGGAGCCAUGAACUUUUUUCCACAUGACAUGCUGCCCUAAUGCUUUCCUUCUUGUUUUAUCAUGUCUCCUGGUUUGUUGGUCACAGCCUGUUCCCAGUUUGCAUUUCUGCCCUGUUUUGGGCAAGUGGGUAGGACAGACACUUUUGAGCUUUUUUUAACUAACAAAAAAAAGGACGGUGACUUCGCCAUGACAUUCUACCUUUUUCAGAAGCUGGAAAAACUUACAUAGACAUUUCAACCUCCUAUAACCAUCAUCGUAUGAUUCACCAGAUUCAAUAAUUGAACUCAGGAUGUGCCGUGUAGAAUACAGAUCAAGAAGUCUCAACCACUAGACCACCCCGUGAUGGUUGACAGAGACUUGAGCUUUGGCCAUUACCUGACAUUUUUAAUUUUAUGCUUAUCCUUUUAAUCCUUCAUAACAAUUAUUGGCGCCGUAUUGAUUGGUUGCACAUCCAUUACCCUACAAUGUUAGACCAGUGAAGCUCUUGCCCUACAUAUUUAAGGCACUUCAUGCUCUCCAUUCCAUCUCCAUUCACUCCAAGUUUGAACCUGGUUUCGGGCAUGAACCCGAUUUUGGUUUUCGAAUUCACAACUGGUUUAGGGCAAAGAAAUCGACUUUCGAAUAUAUAAUGCAUUAUACUUCCAAUAAGGCCCAGAAAGUAUGAGCUUUCUGGGCAUUUUCCUAUAGAAUGCGAUAUGCAUCUUCGAGUACAAAUCCUACCAAGAUAAAAUGCAUUACACAAAUGACGUAAUUCGACCUUUAUAUUACACAUUGAACAAAAAAUAAUUCACAGCACAUCAUCUUUAUAAGUGAAUUCUAUCCUCUGUAUAACAUCAAAGUAAAAAAAAUGCUCUAAAGAAUGCUCUUUGAGUACUAACACUAACAAUUCUACAAUCUAUUCUCUCUGAAUUAUGUUUUUCGUUCGUAAGAAACUCUCACCUCUGCAUCCAUUCAUUCGUCAACAACGUGAUCCCCUACCUGUACACAUCAGAAAAGCCAUGUUGAACCAUUGCUAUGUCAUCUAACUCCGGGUUGUAGAAUCGGAAAGAAAGUCCAGUCAUUGCAAGGCUUAGAUUCCUUAGCAGCAACAUUUUUGUUAGCCCACCAUUCUGAGCCGAUGUUGGACUUACUCGGAACUUCAGCUUUUGUGUAAUCAAAAUUAAACUCCUUUGUCGACCCAAGUGUGAUGGAUCUUUGCUUCCGGUAACCUUGAUCCUCCCCUUCUCCUGAAGCAUUUUCAGGAAUUCUACUCAAACUUUCCUCAACAUUAAACACUCGGUGAUUGUUGGAGUCUGUUAAUAACACAUCUGUUUCGAUUGAGUUUUCUGCUGCUAUAUCAUUGGAAUAUUCCGUUGCAGUUCUUAAUGCUUUAUUCGCAAGACAGCAUGCAACAUCUUCACCAGUCAAUUCAAAUGACACCCUGUGAUCAAAUAUUAUAGUUCCACCAUUUUGACAUCCACUCUCUGUGUUGGCCAGGGAUGCCACCUCAGAAAUCUGGUUCUCCAUAUGGAAACCGUCUCUCGAUGCUGGUCCAGUACCAUCAGGCGUCAAACAUCCAGAACCCAUCCCUGAACCAACUCCCACACCGUUGGGGGUCAAACAUCCGGAACCUAGCCUUGAACCUAGCUCAUAGCCAUCUGGUGUUAAUGUUCCAGAACCUAGCCUGGAACCCAGCCCCGCACCAUCUGGUGUCAAAGAUCCAGAACCUAGCCUUGAACCCCACUUAUGAUUGGUAAAAUGCUCAAAUCCAUAGAGUUUGGGACCUUCCCCCAUGCGAAACUCAAGCAUAGGGUGUCUGUCUGGGAACGGAGAAGAUGUUCCUGAAUUCGAUAUUGCUGAUCCUGGUGAUAUGAGAUUACCACCUGGACUUCCCGGAUAUUGUUGGUAAGGCUGGUAUUCGUAUUGGGACAGUGGAAACUUCUGGUUGUUAAUACUAUUUCUACGUUGUCGGUCCAAUGAAGAUGACAGAAGUUGAGCAAAUGGCACUUCAGGGGAUGAAGGUGUAGUCAGCUGAACGGAUUCGGGAGGGGGAGUGAAUGGAGCAGUAGAUGGUUCAGUGUUGAAUGUAGAGAAUACAGGUGGUGACACUAACUGUGUCUCAUAUGCAUAAGGGCCUAUGGAAAACAUGGAUGCAGGUUCACCCGAAGAGUAGGCAUUGGCAGAAAGGGAUGUGAGGGACAGAAAUCCAGCAGGUGAUUGGGAAGCAGACGGUGGAUCGGAUGGAAGGAAAGAUGCAGGAGAAGAUGGAGGGGCAAUGAAGGGUAAUACAAUUGCGGCGGAGGUUGUUUGGUUAUUAGAGGUUGAAACUGCAGCUCCUGGCACUACAGGCUCGGGAAUGAGGACAGCAUGACCAAUUCGCUUGCUAGUUUUAUGUGAGCCGAAGCACCAAUAUUGGCUCCAGCAGCUUCCCCAUCUUCUUUUCUGUAGUCAAAUGGUAAAAGAUUGUCAACGACACAGUUUCAAAAUUUAACACCAAAAAAAUGCACGAAAGACACCAGAAGAACCAACUCUUCAAAAUUUAUCACCGCACAGAUUUGAGUUCACUCUUGACCCACAAACGAAUACACGAGUAUUUCAUGUAAAAGUUACUUAUACACCAUUCUAUAUCACAUAGCAAAUAACACAAAGAUGGCAACUGAAAUUGAAUUUUACAGUUUUUGGGUUUAUAGCUAUUCCGGUUCCUCCAUAGCAAUGGCAACAAGAAAGAAGAGCUGUUAGAAUGGGAAGUAGGUACUCUUCCCGGCUGGAUUUCUCCGCCGAAACUCCAGAAUCUCUAAACUACGAAAUGUUCACCAGAUACCUUACAGAAAAUUCUGAAACUCUGCUAGGUGCUACCUAGCAAAAUCUGGAAUUCCAGAGUUAUCUACCACAUCAAAACAUACCUACCAAAAAUACUAGCAGUUGAAAUAAAAUGAAGUCACCAUAGCAAUACAAACACAAGAAAGUCUCCAUUAAAAUAAAUUCUUACAUUUUUAUACUAAUUAAUCAGUCAUUAAAUUGUCCGAGUUCAAUCAAAUUUCUCAACUUUUUCCUCUAAUGUUUUCAUUGAUUUGAGAAACAAAGCAAGUCAUGACACACACACACACACAGAUGUGUGACAAUUCCAAGGAUUAUUUGCAAUACAAAAACACUCAAAGAUUAAUACUUUUCACUUUUGAGGAUUGAAAAUAAGUAAAAGAACGCAAGAUCCAACUGGCCAUAACUGCGUUUUUAGAUUCCCACAGUUUCUCAGCAACCAAACAGAGUAUAACAAGGACCCAAAAGUCACAACAAAUUAACAAAUUGGGAGAAGAGAAAAACACACAUGCAUAAAGAUAU